UACGUAGGGGGCUAGCGUUGUCCGGAAUCAUUGGGCGUAAAGAGCGUGUAGGCGGCCCGGUAAGUCCGCUGUAAAAGUCAAAGGCUCAACCUUUGAAUGUCAGUGGAUACUGCCGGGCUAGAGUCCGGAAGAGGCGAGUGGAACUCCUGGUGUAGCGGUGGAAUGCGCAGACAUCAGGAAGAACACCAACGGCGAAGGCAGCUCGCUGGGACGGUACUGACGCUGAGACGCGAAAGCGUGGGGAGCGAACAGG
rnacentral:rRNA from 1 species